rnacentral:rRNA from 1 species
CCCGAUGUAUGGUAAAUUGCCUCAUUGGAAAGAGGAGUGGCGGACGGGUGAGUAACACGUGGGUAACCUACCCAUCAGAGGGGGAUAACACUUGGAAACAGGUGCUAAUACCGCAUAACAGUUUAUGCCGCAUGGCAUAAGAGUGAAAGGCGCUUUCGGGUGUCGCUGAUGGAUGGACCCGCGGUGCAUUAGCUAGUUGGUGAGGUAACGGCUCACCAAGGCCACGAUGCAUAGCCGACCUGAGAGGGUGAUCGGCCACACUGGGACUGAGACACGGCCCAGACUCCUACGGGAGGCAGCAGUAGGGAAUCUUCGGCAAUGGACGAAAGUCUGACCGAGCAACGCCGCGUGAGUGAAGAAGGUUUUCGGAUCGUAAAACUCUGUUGUUAGAGAAGAACAAGGACGUUAGUAACUGAACGUCCCCUGACGGUAUCUAACCAGAAAGCCACGGCUAACUACGUGCCAGCAGCCGCGGUAAUACGUAGGUGGCAAGCGUUGUCCGGAUUUAUUGGGCGUAAAGCGAGCGCAGGCGGUUUCUUAAGUCUGAUGUGAAAGCCCCCGGCUCAACCGGGGAGGGUCAUUGGAAACUGGGAGACUUGAGUGCAGAAGAGGAGAGUGGAAUUCCAUGUGUAGCGGUGAAGGGCCGUAGAUAAAA